UCUGAGCAGGAGCAUGUCUAGAGGGCAGUUAAAAAAGAGAAAUAAAAGAGGUAACAGAAAUAAAAAGAUGAAGAGAUAUAGACAGAAAGGAGGAGAGACUGAUGAGGGAAGGGCAAGAACGUGAUGCGUGAUUGAGUUUGUGCAGUCUGCCUCUAUGAGAGGUGAGAGCUGCUCUAUCAGGGGACAGGAAAAGGCAUUCAGAGUGUGACAUGUUUGUCAUGGUGGGUGACAUUGACAUCUGUCACGCAACCUUUGGCAACACUUGCAAUAACUCUCUCCGUUCCAGAGAGUACGAGACAAAAAGAGACUUUAAAAAUGAGAUGGAUUUGCAGAGUACUGCAGUUGUAGUGCACAAGUUCAAGGGCUGCAGUGCUCACAGGGACACAGGUCUGAAUUAAACCUGCCCUGCCUAAAUAAAUAAUUCAUAAAGCCCCAAAAUUUGAAAAUACAUAAAUUAAUAAAAAAAUGUUACAAUAAAAAAGAGAUUUCCUUGCUUUUGCAUUUCCCAAUUCUGUGGUAUUCACAUUUGGCACUUUGUGUUCCUUAUAGGACAAAAGAAUCAAAAUGAUCUUCCCUUCCUAAUUCAUGAAUAUGGGGAGGGGGAGGAGGGCUCCUGUCAGGAGGGAGACAUGGAGCGCUGGUCAGUAUAUCAGGGAGUUUUAAUUAACAGCUCAGUGAUGAGGAUUGAAGCAGCCCUCAUGCCGUUUACCACUCUACAGGACCAGAUCAAACCAAAUUCACAGCAGCGGGGUUGGGUUGGUAAAGAUGGAGUGGUUGCCUUGCUGUUGUGCUGGUAUCAGACAUGGGCUCUUCAUCAGAUGACUAAUGGAGUUGUGCAGCUAACCAGGAGGCCCAAGGCUGUUUGUUAGCUCCUAACAAGUGGUAAAGCCGCUGGACUGUGGCUCUGCUCACCAGCCGUGAGAUGAUUAAUUCAAACUUAACACCAGAGAAGACACUAAUAUUCAUCACCUCUGCUGCAUUCCUCACCAGCGCCAGCCUACAGCUCUCCUAAUUCAUCAGCACAGACUACACCCCAGCAAAGCUGCAAAACAACAGUGUAUGCUGAUAGAAAACAAUGCAGGAGAACUCAGAGCCACCGUGGUUGGGUAUCUCAAAUCACCAUAUGCUUUGAUUUUGGCUAAGUCUGACCAGUGUUAUUUAGAUGUAUUAUUAUAAUUGUUAAUAUUUUGAAUUAGAUUUUCUUUUUAUAUUUUUUCACCUUUUUAUUUAAAGCUUUUGUAAUGUUAUUGUGUUUGCCAUUUUUAUUAGAUUUUUUUUUAAAUAUACAUUUGUAAUUAUUUUUUAAAAGUUUUUAAAAACAUAAAAAAUAUUUUUUAUUUCAUUUAAUUGUAUUUUUGUUUGAAGUAAUGCAUUUUAUGGUUUUCAUUUUAGUUUUAGUUAAUGAUAACACUGGGCCUGAUGCGAUUAUGAAAAUUUGUUGAGCAUUUCAUUGUUGUACCAAAAAAAAAAAAAAAAAAAAAAAAAUAGCGAUUAACCAUUUAAUUGCCUGUGUUAUGUAAGCUUAAUAUUCAUAUGCGAAGAAGUUAUUUAGACACACCAGAAACAUUAAUAAAAUAUAUGAUUUCUUUCA
ensembl:lncRNA